rnacentral:rRNA from 1 species
GAUGAACGCUGGCGGCGUGCCUAAUACAUGCAAGUAGAACGCUGAAGGAAGGAGCUUGCUCUUUCCGGAUGAGUUGCGAACGGGUGAGUAACGCGUAGGUAACCUGCCUGGUAGCGGGGGAUAACUAUUGGAAACGAUAGCUAAUACCGCAUAACAGUAGAUGUUGCAUGAUAUCUACUUAAAAGGUGCAAUUGCACCACUACCAGAUGGACCUGCGUUGUAUUAGCUAGUUGGUGAGGUAACGGCUCACCGAGGCGACGAUACAUAGCCGACCUGAGAGGGUGAUCGGCCACACUGGGACUGAGACACGGCCCAGACUCCUACGGGAGGCAGCAGUAGGGAAUCUUCGGCAAUGGACGGAAGUCUGACCGAGCAACGCCGCGGGAGUGAAGAAGGUUUUCGGAUCGUAAAGCUCUGUUGUAAGAGAAGAACGAGUGUGAGAGUGGAAAGUUCACACUGUGACGGUAUCUUACCAGAAAGGGACGGCUAACUACGUG